rnacentral:lncRNA from 1 species
AUGCCAAACGGCGGCCGCCCUUACUCAUCCCGGCACCCUCCCGGCACCGCUUCCCCCCGGGGGCGGCUGCCGCUGACUCAGGACCUGCCGGGCUUCCCCCGGGGCCGCGGGGACCCUCCCCGGACCCCCCAAAACCACCGUCCCUUCUCCGGCUGCCUCGCCAGGCGGGAAGAGCUCCAGGACGUGUCACCUGCUGCAGCAGUGUCCCCGCGAUGCUCGCGUGAGUCUGGGGGUCCCAGCACCCCAAAGCCGCUGCCUGGGGGCCGCCCCUGCUCCUUGGCGCCGUGCUGGGGGGUCCCGGGAUGCUCGUGGUGGGCACGGGGCUCGGUGGCCGUCGCUCGGUGCAUUUUGUCACCGGUCACCAGCAGGGUGAGGGCACAGCACCCUCUCUGUCACCCGUGGGGGGACACUCUGAGCCCACCCCACCGCGAGUGGGACCGGCUGCCCCCGUGCCUCAGUUUCCCUUUCCCACCCCGCUGCCACUCCACUGCCCACUGCGGAGGGAAGUGGGGGUGUCCUGGGAGGAGGAGGGGGGGUGGCCCCAUUUCCUGUGACCCCCCCCCGGAGCUGUGCUCCGCUGGAGGGAGCUGCCAGCCGCAGCGCUGGGCCGUGGCUUUGGUGACAGAGCUGUCCCACGGGGUGUCCUCCCCACCCUGGGGUGCCCGACCACCUCGGUGCCACCCCCCCACUGUCCCCAAGGCCACCCUGCAGCCCCCCUCAGCUGCGGGGCAGGGGGCAGGGAGGGUUUUGGGGGCUCUUGGUGAGGUCACGAGUCCGGCUGGAGCCGCCAAGUCGCCCGUGUGGCCUGGCUGUGCCAGCUGCGGUGACAAGGGACAAGCCAGUCCUGCCUCAGCCGGGAGAGGGGUGAGCUGCGGGGGCUUCUUGCGGUGGCAGGGGUUGGGGACUGUCACCUCCAGCCUGUCCCGAGGGCGGUGGGAGCAUCCCUGGGGGAAUUGUCCCCAGGGAACUCGGGGGAUGUCACAGCAUCGGCACGGGGCGCUGUCCCCAGAGCCACCCGCGGGUGUGCAGCAUCCUCCCACCCCGGGCUGUGCCCCCCACACGUGGUGGGACACACCUGGCUCCGUGUCCCCCGUGUCCCCGUUGUCCCCCAUGUCCCCACGCCAGUGGGUCACACCUCGCCGUUUUCUAGGUGACAACUUCAUUCGGUUGUUUUUCCCAUCAAAACCCCCUCUUAUUUUGGGCACCUUUAAGGUUUCUUUUUCCAGCUUUCAGUUGGGUUGGGUUUGGGGUUUUUUUUCCCCUUUUCUCGGUGUUUUUAUCAUUUAG